GACGAACGCUGGCGGCGUGCUUAACACAUGCAAGUCGAGCGGUAAGGCCCUUUUGGGGGUACACGAGCGGCGAAUGGGUGAGUAACACGUGGGUGACCUGCCUUCAGCUCUGGGAUAAGCUUGGGAAACUGGGUCUAAUACCGGAUGUGACUGUCUGCCGCAUGGUGGGUGGUGGAAAGUUCUCGGGCUUUGGUCUGGGUUCGGCUGGGGAUGGGCCUGCGGCCUAUCAGCUUGUUGGUGGGGUGAUGGCCUACCAAGGCGACGACGGGUAGCCGGCCUGAGAGGGCGACCGGCCACACUGGGACUGAGACACGGCCCAGACUCCUACGGGAGGCAGCAGUGGGGAAUAUUGCGCAAUGGGCGGAAGCCUGACGCAGCGACGCCGCGUGGGGGAUGACGGCCUUCGGGUUGUAAACCUCUUUCGCCAUCGACGAAGGUUCUGUGGUUGUGAGGCUGCAGGGUUGACGGUAGGUGGAGAAGAAGCACCGGCCAACUACGUGCCAGCAGCCGCGGUAAUACGUAGGGUGCGAGCGUUGUCCGGAAUUAUUGGGCGUAAAGAGCUCGUAGGCGGUGUGUCGCGUCGGCCGUGAAAACCUGCAGCUUAACUGUGGGCGUGCGGUCGAUACGGGCAUCACUGGAGUUCGGCAGGGGAGACUGGAAUUCCUGGUGUAGCGGUGAAAUGCGCAGAUAUCAGAGGAACACCGGUGGCGAAGCGGGUCUCUGGGCCGAUACUGACGCUGAGAGCGAAAGCGUGGGGAGCGAACAGGAUUAGAUACCCUGGUAU
rnacentral:rRNA from 1 species